rnacentral:rRNA from 1 species
CAAGGUUAAAACUCAAAUGAAUUGACGGGGGCCCGCACAAGCGGUGGAGCAUGUGGUUUAAUUCGAUGCAACGCGAAGAACCUUACCUACUCUUGACAUCCAGAGAACUUUCCAGAGAUGGAUUGGUGCCUUCGGGAACUCUGAGACAGGUGCUGCAUGGCUGUCGUCAGCUCGUGUUGUGAAAUGUUGGGUUAAGUCCCGCAACGAGCGCAACCCUUAUCCUUUGUUGCCAGCGGUUCGGCCGGGAACUCAAAGGAGACUGCCAGUGAUAAACUGGAGGAAGGUGGGGAUGACGUCAAGUCAUCAUGGCCCUUACGAGUAGGGCUACACACGUGCUACAAUGGCAUAUACAAAGAGAAGCGACCUCGCGAGAGCAAGCGGACCUCAUAAAGUAUGUCGUAGUCCGGAUUGGAGUCUGCAACUCGACUCCAUGAAGUCGGAAACGCUAGUAAUCGUAGAUCAGAAUGCUACGGUGAAUACGUUCCCGGGCCUUGUACACACCGCCCGUCACACCAUGGGAGUGGGUUGCAAAAGAAGUAGGUAGCUUAACCUUCGGGAGGGCGCUUACCACUUUGUGAUUCAUGACUGGGGUG